UACAGAGGUGGCAAGCGUUGUUCGGAAUUACUGGGCGUAAAGGGCGCGUAGGCGGCCCGUCAAGUCCCGUGUGAAAGCCCCCGGCUCAACCGGGGAACGGCGCGGGAAACUAGCAGGCUUGAGUUCGGGAGAGGGAAGCGGAAUUCCGGGUGUAGCGGUGAAAUGCGCAGAUAUCCGGAGGAACACCGGUGGCGAAGGCGGGUCUCUGGGCCGAUACUGACGCCGAGGAGCGAAAGCGUGGGGAGCGAACAGG
rnacentral:rRNA from 1 species